rnacentral:rRNA from 1 species
AUGUGUGCCGAGUACCCUGAAAAAGGGAUAAAGACUAGGCAAAGACCUUCCGUUUUGAUUGAUCAGCAUAGCCCUCCGAUGAAUCACAUGUCGUGGUCAUUGGUUCGCUUAGAUCGGACAGCUUGGGUUGAGACACCUUUACUCUAUCGCCACUACUCUCGCUGGACUCCACCGCCCCCAUCUCCUCCUCAUCCUCCUCCCCAACCGAGGUGCCACUUCUCCUCCUCUUCCCCAACUGAGCUGCCCCUUCUCCUUUCCCCCAACAAAGCAAUAGUUAGCAGGCAGCAGCAACACAUAGCGGCAAGCGAUAGCACACAACAACAAGCAUCAACACGUAGCGGUGUGUCCCGCCAUUGUCCCAGUGUAUGCGACCGUUGUUGCACAUCCGGUCGUUUACCCCACAACUCCGUUAAAUUGUUUUGCCGAGUGUAG